AUUGAACGCUGGCGGCAGGCUUAACACAUGCAAGUCGAGCGGGGGAGGUUGCUUCGGUAACUGACCUAGCGGCGGACGGGUGAGUAAUGCUUAGGAAUCUGCCUAUUAGUGGGGGACAACAUCUCGAAAGGGAUGCUAAUACCGCAUACGUCCUACGGGAGAAAGCAGGGGACGUUCGGGCCUUGCGCUAAUAGAUGAGCCUAAGUCGGAUGAGCUAGUCGGUGGGGUAAAGGCCUACCCAGGCGACGAUCUGUAGCGGGUCUGAGAGGAUGAUCCGCCACACUGGGACUGAGACACGGCCCAGACUCCUACGGGAGGCAGCAGUGGGGAAUAUUGGACAAUGGGGGGAACCCUGAUCCAGCCAUGCCGCGUGUGUGAAGAAGGCCUUUUGGUUGUAAAGCACUUUAAGCGAGGAGGAGGCUACUGGUAUUAAUACUACCGGAUAGUGGACGUUACUCGCAGAAUAAGCACCGGCUAACUCUGUGCCAGCCGCCGCUGUAACAC
rnacentral:rRNA from 1 species